CCAGACGUGACAUUGUUCCAACUCAUCAGCGUCCUUUCUCCAUUCUGCAGGUCUUGGUGAUAUGGCCUGGACCUUUCUUCUACACAUGGUGGUGAAUUGAUAUAAGCCUGGUUUCUUGGAAGCCUUCUCAUAUGCAUGUGCUCCUGAUAUCCACGGCUCACGAAUUAUCUCGUGAUAACCAUACCCCUUAGGAAUUUAGGUUGGUUGUCUUUUAUGAAAUAAUAUCUUGGCUAGGCAUUAAACUAUUCAAGACUUGAAGAGGUAUAUCAAUGUCUUAAAUAUAUUCAAGCCGCCUGAGGGAUAUAUGGGAUUAGAUAGGUAUAUGUUGUCUACGGUUUUAUUAUGGGCUGCAAUUACAGAUUGAAUAGAUUAGGUGCCACUAUUAUUUGCAUCGAGGCAGCGUGCCGUUCACUUAUGGACACAUGUUACAUGAUUUCUAAUUACAAUCCAUGUGUGCCUUCAUGAUGAUUAUAUUUUGUAUUUACAGUAUGUUGAUGUUAUUGGCUAGACUCUAAUUUCUAUGAUUUUGCUGCUUAGGAUUCUUGGACAAAAGGAGCAAGCAGGUUGAUCACCAAAUAUGCAAGGGGGUGGCAUACAUUAUGAAAGCCCCCAAUAGUCCCCCAGUAUUAAUUACAAGAUCGGGAUGAUCAUAUUGUACUAACUUGAAUAGCUACUAUAUGCCAACUUUGAUUAAUGUGUUGUCUGAUGCAAAAAUCUUCAAAGAUGUAUGAUGAAGUUAAUGUAAUUUGACUUUAAUUUGUUUUAGACUGUGCAAGAAGUCUUACUGUUUCAUGUAAAAAGAAAAUUUUAUUUGGUUU